rnacentral:rRNA from 1 species
GACGACCCUUCGGGGUUAGUGGCGCACGGGUGCGUAACGCGUGGGAAUCUGCCCUUAGGUACGGAAUAACUCAGGGAAACUUGUGCUAAUACCGUAUGAUGUCGAGAGACCAAAGAUUUAUCGCCUAGGGAUGAGCCCGCGUUGGAUUAGCUAGUUGGUGGGGUAAAAGCCUACCAAGGCUACGAUCCAUAGCUGGUCUGAGAGGAUGAUCAGCCACACUGGGACUGAGACAUGGCCCAGACUCCUACGGGAGGCAGCAGUGGGGAAUAUUGGACAAUGGGCGAAAGCCUGAUCCAGCAAUGCCGCGUGAGUGAAGAAGGCCUUCGGGUUGUAAAGCUCUUUUACCCGGGAUGAUAAUGACAGUACCGGGAGAAUAAGCUCCGGCUAACUCCGUGCCAGCAGCCGCGGUAAUACGGAGGGAGCUAGCGUUGUUCGGAAUUACUGGGCGUAAAGCGUACGUAGGCGGCUUUGUAAGUCAGAGGUGAAAGCCCACGGCUCAACCGUGGAAUUGCCUUUGAGACUGCUUCGCUUGAAGAUGGGAGAGGUGAGUGGAAUUCCGAGUGUAGAGGUGAAAUUCGUAGAUAUUCGGAAGAACACCAGUGGCGAAAGCGGCUCACUGGACCAUUCUUGACGCUGAGGUACGAAAGCGUGGGGAGCAAACAGGAUUAGAUACCCUGGUAGUCCACGCCGUAAACGAUGAGAACUAGCUGUCGGGGCUCUUGAGCUUCGUGGCGCAGCUAACGCAUUAAGUUCUCCGCCUGGGGAGUACGGCCGCAAGGUUAAACUCAAGGAAUGACGGGGG